rnacentral:pre_miRNA from 1 species
CCUACACUCAUGUGUGUGAGACCCCAAAUGAUCACCAUUAAAUUUGAUACAGAUUUCUAAAAAAGUUAUCACAUGAGUGUGGGACUUAACUUUUCUAGAGAUCUGUGUCAAAUUUAAUAGUGAUCAUUUGGGGUUCUGCAUACAUGAGUGUGGG